rnacentral:misc_RNA from 1 species
GAAAUGCGAUAAGUAAUGUGAAUUGCAGAAUUCAGUGAAUCAUCGAAUCUUUGAACGCACAUUGCGCCCGCCAGUAUUCUGGCGGGCAUGCCUGCCCGAGCGUCAUUUCAACCCUCGCGCCCGCUGGGAAACCGGCGAGCGCGGUGUUGGGGACCGCCACUGCAUUUGGGGGGCGGUCCCGCCGGCGCCUUCCCCGCGUAGUAGCAUACACCUCGCGGCCGGGAGCGCUGGCGCGGCACCUACGCCGUAAAACCCCCCGACGAAUCGCCCACCACGGCGAGAUAGUUUGACCUCGGAUCAGGUAGGAAUACCCGCUGAACUUAA